GCCUCUAUAGCUCAAUUGGUCAGAGCAUGUGACUUUUAUUCCAUUCCAAUCCCAAGGUUGCGGGUUCGAGUCCCGCUAGAGGCU